rnacentral:rRNA from 1 species
GGAAUUUUGGACAAUGGGCGCAAGCCUGAUCCAGCAAUGCCGCGUGAGUGAAGAAGGCCUUCGGGUUGUAAAGCUCUUUUGUCAGGGAAGAAACGGUGAGAGCUAAUAUCUUUUGCUAAUGACGGUACCUGAAGAAUAAGCACCGGCUAACUACGUGCCAGCAGCCGCGGUAAUACGUAGGGUGCAAGCGUUAAUCGGAAUUACUGGGCGUAAAGCGUGCGCAGGCGGUUUUGUAAGUCUGAUGUGAAAUCCCCGGGCUCAACCUGGGAAUUGCAUUGGAGACUGCAAGGCUAGAAUCUGGCAGAGGGGGGUAGAAUUCCACGUGUAGCAGUGAAAUGCGUAGAUAUGUGGAGGAACACCGAUGGCGAAGGCAGCCCCCUGGGUCAAGAUUGACGCUCAUGCACGAAAGCGUGGGGAGCAAACAGGAUUAGAUACCCUUG